rnacentral:tRNA from 1 species
GGGCCCCUAGCUCAUGCCUGGUUAGAGCAGCGGACUCAUAAUCCGUUGGUGCAGGGUUCGACUCCCUGGGGGCCCACCA